GAUGAACGCUGGCGGCGUGCCUAAUACAUGCAAGUCGAGCGAACGGACGAGAAGCUUGCUUCUCUGAUGUUAGCGGCGGACGGGUGAGUAACACGUGGAUAACCUACCUAUAAGACUGGGAUAACUUCGGGAAACCGGAGCUAAUACCGGAUGAUAUUUUGAACCGCAUGGUUCAAAAGUGAAAGACGGUCUUGCUGUCACUUAUAGAUGGAUCCGCGCUGCAUUAGCUAGUUGGUAAGGUAACGGCUUACCAAGGCAACGAUGCAUACCCGACCUGAGAGGGUGAUCGGCCAAACUGGAACGGAAACACGGUCCAGACUCCUACGGGAGGCAGCAGUAGGGAAUCUUCCGCAAUGGGCGAAAGCCUGACGGAGCAACGCCGCGUGGGUGAUGAAGGUCUUCGGAUCGUAAAACUCUGUUAUUAGGGAAGAACAUAUGUGUAAGUAACUGUGCACAUCUUGACGGUACCUAAUCAGAAAGCCACGGCUAACUACGUG
rnacentral:rRNA from 1 species